AUCUUUUGAGAACGCUUAUCCACAUAUGAAGCUACACUUUACUAGCAUUACUUUUGGUAUAUUUAAAUGCAACACUGCCCAAACGUGGUCUAAAAUGUUUACGAAAUUCAUACAAGACUUUCCCACUUAAACUAUUCCCUCUAAAAUUUCUAACUUAAACUAUUCCCUCUAAAAUUUUCCAUAGCUUCCCCCUCACUCUAGGUCUAGGGCUUGAAUCCCACGAAGAAAACUUUUUCUGCACUCGAUUUUUCAAAAGAUGGGAUUGUCGAUGGCACCUAGUCGGUGACGAUCUUCAGAAGAAGAUCUGAUUUACUUAACUCAGCUUCUCCAGACAACAAGAAAGGUUCGGUAUUCGAGUUUUAUCGAUUUUGUUGAAACCAAUAGAGAAUUUGUUCAAGUCAGUACUCGAUUUAUCUAGGCAUUUACUACUUUUAUUUGGUAUUUGCAUUUAAUUGAAGAAGUUCCAUUAUUUAAAUUUGCUUCUGAAUGUAGAGUAAAUGGAUUUUUCACGGAAUACUGUGCCUUUCUUCUUAAUUUGGGGAAAACAUGGGUUAGACGACUUGUAGAUCUUUUAAUGUAUCUGUGUAUGGAUUGAUUUGUUGUGGGUUUCACAUAAGAGGUUUGAAAUUGUUCUAUUAGAAUUUUUUAUACCGCUUUAUUGUCUAACAUAUUCACCUACAUUUUAAUAUUUUUAUAUUUUUGACAAUGCAUUUGUUUAUAUUUCUUUAAUUUUCUUUUGCUUGUUCUAGAUAAUGAAGGAAGAGUUGGGGAUUGCCGAGGAUAUUUGAAAUGUCCACUUAAAUGAUAAAGUAUUGUCAAACUCACGAAUUUAGCUAAACCAUAUUUCUUUAGUGGAACUCAACUUGAUUGACUUGAAUAGAACUAAAAGCUCCUGUUUUUCAUUGAAGAACUCGAAUAUUUCAAGACUGCACAAGUCCGUUUAGAAUUUAUGUUAUAGAUGAGUUUACAAAUCUAACGGAGAAACAAUUCUGGUGGCAUGAACCUGAAGCUUUAAACCAGUUUUGAUUGUUUUAUUUUUUUAUAACAGGUCUACAUCAUUGGCCAUGGUCUGACCAAGAAGUACAGAGAUCUUCAGACACAUAAGCAUACCAUCCAGGUAUAAAAAUUAAACAUACUUGUUGGGUUGAUUUGAUAACUGAUCAAUUAACUACUUUGUGUUUUUACAAUUCUCAAGAAAAGAAAGAGAAACUACAUUAUGUUAGUAUUAUAGAUGAUUAAUCUCUUUGUCUUGUUGUUCUCAUAUAAGUUAUUUUAGUUCCUUUGUUUGCACUAUUUCCUUUGUCUUUAGUAUACUCUUGCUUUGCUUUGUUGAGUCACGCUCUGACUAGUUCAGUAUCUCGUAAUAACUUUUAUUAUUUUGUCCCUAUUUAAUAGUAUUGUAAGAGAAGGUAAAACAUACAUUUAACUUUGUGGUCUAAGAGUAGUGUGUUUCUUCCACUCCACUAUGUCAUUAAUUGUUAUCUUAAUUUGUUAGGGACAUGAUGAAAAAUAGUUUUGUCACUCUUUGGGUUCUUUUUCCAUUUAUCAUUUUCUGUUUAUUUCAAUCAUGUUAAGGUCUUAUAACUCUUUAUAUAUCAUGUUCUGUUUAACUUUGUGGUCUAAGAGUAGUGUGUUUCAAUCAUGCUUGAUGCUUUUUGAGGAAGUUUUCUCAAUUAAAUAUAACUUUGACUGCUAAGGUCAUGGCAAUAGACUCUGUCUGCUGAUAAUAAAUGUGCAGAACUACUUAAAACACAGAACGGUUGAUGCCAUUGACACUCGAUCCUGGGUGCUUCAAUUUAAUGAUCAUAUUGUGUCUUUUGUUGACCAAAGUUUUGACUUUUAGUAAUCCUCUUCAGUU
rnacentral:lncRNA from 1 species